CCCUGUAAUUGGAAUGAGUACACUUUAAAUCCUUUAACAAGGACCUAUUGGAGGGCAAGUCUGGUGCCAGCAGCCGCGGUAACUCCAGCUCCAAUAGCGUAUAUUAAAGUUGUUGCGGUUAAAACGUUCGUAGUUGAACUUGUGCUUCAUACGGGUAGUACAACUAUAAUUGUAGUUUGUACUGUACCUUAUGUAUGUAAGCGUAUUACCGGUGGAGUUCUUAYAURUGUUAAAUACUUGUAUUUUUCAYAUGUUCCUCCUAUUUAAACCUGCUUCAGUGCUCUUYAYCGAGUGUUGUUGUGGGCCGGUACAAUUACUUUGAACAAAUUAGAGUGCUUAAAGCAGGCUCCAAAUGCCUGAAUAUUUUGUGCAUGGAAUAAUGAAAUAAGACCUCUGUUCUACUUUCAUUGGUUUUUAGAUCAAGAGGUAAUGAUUAAUAGAAGCAGUUUGGGGGCAUUAGUAUUACGACGCGAGAGGUGAAAUUCUUGGACCGUCGUAAGACUAACUUAAGCGAAAGCAUUUGCCAAAGAUGUUUUCAUUAAUCAAGAACGAAAGUUAGAGGUUCGAAGGCGAUCAGAUACCGCCCUAGUUCUAACCAUAAACGAUGCCAGCUAGCAAUUGGGUGUAGCUACUAUCAUGGCUCUCUCAGUCGCUUCCCGGGAAACCAAAGCUUUUGGGCUCCGGGGGAAGUAUGGUUGCAAAGCUGAAACUUAAAGGAAUUGACGGAAGGGCACCACCAGGAGUGGAGCCUGCGGCUUAAUUUGACUCAAC
rnacentral:rRNA from 1 species